rnacentral:rRNA from 1 species
GAUGAACGCUGGCGGCGUGCCUAAUACAUGCAAGUCGAGCGAACAGACGAGGAGCUUGCUCCUCUGACGUUAGCGGCGGACGGGUGAGUAACACGUGGAUAACCUACCUAUAAGACUGGGAUAACUUCGGGAAACCGGAGCUAAUACCGGAUAAUAUAUUGAACCGCAUGGUUCAAUAGUGAAAGACGGUUUUGCUGUCACUUAUAGAUGGAUCCGCGCCGCAUUAGCUAGUUGGUAAGGUAACGGCUUACCAAGGCAACGAUGCGUAGCCGACCUGAGAGGGUGAUCGGCCACACUGGAACUGAGACACGGUCCAGACUCCUACGGGAGGCAGCAGUAGGGAAUCUUCCGCAAUGGGCGAAAGCCUGACGGAGCAACGCCGCAUGAGUGAUGAAGGUCUUCGGAUCGUAAAACCCUGUUAUUAGGGAAGAACAAAUGUGUAAGUAACUAUGCACGUCUUGACGGUACCUAAUCAGAAAGCCACGGCUAACUACGUG